CUUGCUCCACUUGCUCCAGAACUGCUUAUAUUCCUUAGGCUUUGGUCCUGGCCUCUCAUUUUGUACCAUGUAUGCUCUUGUAAGAUCCAAUCCAAUCCAUUUUCAGAGCUCUACCCCAUAAGCAGACCCAACCAGCUCCUAUGUUUCUGUCUCCAGCCCCACGCACUCCCUGAACUCAGUGCCCACUAGGGAUCUCACAAUGAGUGUGUCCAAAACUAAAUUCCCAUCAACCCUGCCUGCCCAUCUUUAUCUGAGUGAGUGACACUGCCUAACAGUCAUUUUAGACUUCUCUUGCUCUCUCUGACUCAUAGCCAAGUCCUGCUAUUUGCACUUCCUUUCAAUAGUCCAGCUUAGCAGUUACAGCACAGACUCUGAAGCAAGACAGCCUGGAAUCAGAGCCCAGCUCAGGAAGAAACUACUCAUGUGACCACGGGAAGUUAUUUAACCUCUCUGGACCUCAGCUUUUACAUCUAUAAAAUGUGGGAAAUAAGGUUUCUACCUCUUAAUGUUGUUGUGGGUCUUGUUAAUACAUGUAAAACCCUAAGCACAAUACCAACAUCGUGGCAGUUUCUGCGUAAGUAGUUCCUAGUGUUAAUGUUAGUAAUCAAUCAAGUCUCCUCUCCCCCACUGCCAAGCCACCAUCAUUUCUUGCCUAGAGUGUCACAGGAGCUUUCUUCCUGGUCUCCCUAUCUCCUAACAUCUGGCCCAGGAUGAGGGCAAGACACAUCAUGCAACCCCAGCAGGCAUCAUCUCACAGAAUACAAAGUAAAUGGCACCCUAACCUCCGAUCUUCCCUGGCACCUGCUCCACUGCUGUUUUCAAUGUACACAUUUCUCAUGUCAAACUUUUCAGAGAUUUUCCCUUCCCCUUCAAACUAAAACCCCAGCUCCACAGCAGGCAUCUGUUGAUGUUGUCUUCAGGGGAGGUGGAUUUAGGAGUCAUCAAUGCAGGGAUCAGAAUGGAGCCUUUCAGAAUAGAAGAAAUGAAAUUCAUUGAGGGAUACUACUUGCAGAGGUUGUGCUAACUCUUCCUUAAAUAACUUAUGGAGCAGGUCUUAUUCCCACCCUACAGACGAACAAGCAGAGACAUAAAUAAUUCGUUUACUGGCUUUGGGUUCCCAGGCAAAUCAGUUGUGGAUGACAACAGAUAAAGAUAGAAAAGCAAGCCUAGAGAGAGUAGACAGAGCCAGCAUGCCUGGGACAUGCUGACAGAUAUCUAGAUAUAGCUGUAAAGAAAAUUUGUGUUCAUGGGAGUUCCUAAUGGCCAUCAGAGGUAGCAUAAUAACCAUGAGAAAUGGACAUUUCUUGAUGAGAUGAGACUACAUAAAGGAGACAGACACACCUAUUGCAUGCAGGACACCACAUUAGGUCUUGUAAAAGACAAAGAGAAGAUAGGAUCAAGUGCCUAGGUCUUGAAGGAGGGCUAAAUGCACUUUUCACUUAGCGUACAUUCUUGUGACUUACUGUUUUUGAUACACUGUUGUAAGCAAACUGCAUGUAUUAUCUCAUUCCAUCCUCACAACAACAACCCUAAAGCCAAGUACUAUUAUUGUCCUUAUUUUACAGAUAGGGAAACAAGCACAGAGAGGUUAGGUAAGUGGCCCAAGUUCACGCAGGCCACCUGGCUUCGGAAUUGGUGCCCUUAUCCAGUUCAUUAUGCAAUCUCUCCUCACUAAUUUUGAACUUCAGUGGCUGAGACCUACUAGAUGAUCGAGACUCAACCAUAAUAGAAAGAAUGGAGAUCUAUUAACCGCCUUUCUUCUGUGAGCUGUGGUUUUCAGAGGGGAAUGUUAAGAGGUAAGUGGGGGAUAUUAAUUAGAACCCAGGCCACGAUGCCUGGGAAGACGGGCUGAAUCUCCCGGUAUGGUGAGUGGGUAUUCAGGGAGAGCUCUCGCCAAGAGGAAGGGGUGUGGUGCCUGAGGGGUGUGCCUGAGGGGUCUGUGCUUGCACACAGGUGGACACAAGGAAAGGGGAGAA